rnacentral:rRNA from 1 species
GCUCCAAUAGCGUAUAUUAAAGUUGUUGCGGUUAAAAAGCUCGUAGUUGGAUUUCUGUUGAGGAAGGUCGGUCUGCACUUUGUGCAUGAUCUGAUUCUGCCUCGGCAUCCUCGCGGGGAACAUGCUGCGCUUGAUUGCGUGGUAUGGUAUUCGCGACUUUUACUUUGAGGAAAUUAGAGUGUUCACGGCAGGCAAUCGCC